rnacentral:rRNA from 1 species
GGACUACUGGGGUAUCUAAUCCUGUUUGCUCCCCACGCUUUCGUGCCUCAGUGUCAGUAUCUGUCCAGAAGGCCGCCUUCGCCACUGGUGUUCCUUCCGAUCUCUACGCAUUUCACCGCUACACCGGAAAUUCCACCUUCCUCUACAGUACUCUAGCGAGACAGUAUUAAGCGCAAUCCCCAGGUUGAGCCCGGGACUUUCACACCUAACUUACCUCACCACCUACGCACCCUUUACGCCCAGUAAUUCCGAUUAACGCUUGCACCCUCUGUAUUACCGCGGCUGCUGGCAC